UGUUCCACUCAAGGGUGGUCUGAGGAGAAGGGGACCCAACAAUCUGGAGCCUCUGCCAGGCCAGCCAUGUCCUCAGCAGGGGCAGAGCAGGAGGCUCCUUGGAGCCGAGAUUCCAUCACAAGCCCCACUGCCAGGCAUGGAGCUGCAGGACCCACGACCAGCCCCAGGCUUCUCUUCAGGUGCCUAUCCACUGACCCCGCCCGGCAACGGCCUACCUGUCCCCUAGAAUAAAAGAAAACAUGUUCGAUCACGUGUGGAUCCUGGAGGACGAUGGCUGCCAACUGGGAAGUCCGUCUGUGCUGUGGUGUGGAUUAAGUGUGGACUGUCCUCGGCUCCUGACCCUACCACCAUGCCUUCCCCACCAGAGAGAACCACAUCCCCUACACUAAAGCCCAGAAUUAACUCCUUCAUCCCUGAAAAUGCCUUCUGUCAGCACUCAGUCACAGUGACGAGAAAACUAAGCAGCCUGUUAGUGUCGGGAAGCC